rnacentral:rRNA from 1 species
UUCCGGUUGAUCCUGCCGGACCUUACUGCUAUCGGGGUGGGACUAAGACAUGCGAGUCGAGCGUCUCUAGCUAUGUUGAGACGCGGCAGACGGCUCAGUAACACGUGGCUAACCUACCCUCAGGACAAGGAUAAACCCGGGAAACUGGGGCUAAUACUUGAUAGGCGAAGAUGCCUGGAAUGGUUUUUCACCUAAAGGGCUUUAGAAACAUGCUUCUAAAGUCGCCUGAGGAUGGGGCCGCGUCCGAUCAGGUUGUUGGUGAGGUAACGGCUCACCAAGCCUAUAACCGGUACGGGCCGUGAGAGCGGUAGCCCGGAGAUGGGUACUGAGACAAGGACCCAGGCCCUACGGGGCGCAGCAGUCGCGAAAACUCCGCAAUGCACGAAAGUGUGACGGGGCUACCCCGAGUGCCAUCCGCUGAGGAUGGCUUUUCUUUGGUAUAACUAGCCAGGGGAAUAAGGAGAGGGCAAGACUGGUGUCAGCCGCCGCGGUAAUACCAGCUCUCCGAGUGGUAGGGAUGAUUAUUGGGCUUAAAGCGUCCGUAGCCGGCUUAGCAAGUCUCCUGUUAAACUCAGCGACCUAAUCGUUGAAUCGCGGGAGAUACUACUAGGCUAGGAGGCGGGAGAGGUCGACGGUACUUCUGGGGUAGGGGUGAAAUCCUAUAAUCCCGGGAGGACCACCAGUGGCGAAGGCUGUCGACUAGAACGCGCUCGACGGUGAGGGACGAGAGCUGGGGGAGCGAACCGGAUUAGAUACCCGGGUAGUCCCAGCCGUAAACGAUGCGGGCUAGGUGUUGGAAUGGCUACGUGCCAUUUCAGUGCCGCAGGGAAGCCAUUAAGCCCGCCGCCUGGGGAGUACGGCCGCAAGGCUGAAACUUAAAGGAAUUGGCGGGGGAGCACCACAAGGCGUGAAGCUUGCGGUUCAAUUGGAUUCAACGCCGGA